rnacentral:rRNA from 1 species
CCUACGGGAGGCAGCAGUGAGGAAUAUUGGUCAAUGGACGGAAGUCUGAACCAGCCAUGCCGCGUGCAGGAAGACGGCUCUAUGAGUUGUAAACUGCUUUUGUACAAGGGUAAACCUGAAUACGUGUAUUCAGCUGAAAGUACUGUACGAAUAAGGAUCGGCUAACUCCGUGCCAGCAGCCGCGGUAAUACGGAGGAUCCAAGCGUUAUCCGGAUUUAUUGGGUUUAAAGGGUGCGUAGGCGGAUUGAUAAGUUAGCGGUGAAAGGUCCGAGCUUAACUCGGGAACUGCCUCUAAUACUGUUGAUCUAGAGAGUAGAUGCGGUAGGCGGAAUGUAUGGUGUAGCGGUGAAAUGCUUAGAGAUCAUACAGAACACCGAUUGCGAAGGCAGCUUACCAAUCUAUAUCUGACGUUGAGGCACGAAAGCGUGGGGAGCAAACAGGAUUAGAUACCCGAGUAGUC